rnacentral:rRNA from 1 species
AUGCUGGAGGUAUCAGAAGUGCGAAUGCUGACAUAAGUAACGAUAAAGCGGGUGAAAAGCCCGCUCGCCGGAAGACCAAGGGUUCCUGUCCAACGUUAAUCGGGGCAGGGUGAGUCGACCCCUAAGGCGAGGCCGAAAGGCGUAGUCGAUGGGAAACAGGUUAAUAUUCCUGUACUUGGUGUUACUGCGAAGGGGGGACGGAGAAGGCUAUGUUGGCCGGGCGACGGUUGUCCCGGUUUAAGCGUGUAGGCUGGUUUUCCAGGCAAAUCCGGAAAAUCAAGGCUGAGGCGUGAUGACGAGGCACUACGGUGCUGAAGCAACAAAUGCCCUGCUUCCAGGAAAAGCCUCUAAGCAUCAGGUAACAUCAAAUCGUACCCCAAACCGACACAGGUGGUCAGGUAGAGAAUACCAAGGCGCUUGAGAGAACUCGGGUGAAGGAACUAGGCAAAAUGGUGCCGUAACUUCGGGAGAAGGCACGCUGAUAUGUAGGUGAAGCGACUUGCUCGUGGAGCUGAAAUCAGUCGAAGAUACCAGCUGGCUGCAACUGUUUAUUAAAAACACAGCACUGUGCAAACACGAAAGUGGACGUAUACGGUGUGACGCCUGCCCGGUGCCGGAAGGUUAAUUGAUGGGGUUAGCGGUAACGCGAAGCUCUUGAUCGAAGCCCCGGUAAACGGCGGCCGUAACUAUAACGGUCCUAAGGUAGCGAAAUUCCUUGUCGGGUAAGUUCCGACCUGCACGAAUGGCGUAAUGAUGGCCAGGCUGUCUCCACCCGAGACUCAGUGAAAUUGAACUCGCUGUGAAGAUGCAGUGUACCCGCGGCAAGACGGAAAGACCCCGUGAACCUUUACUAUAGCUUGACACUGAACAUUGAGCCUUGAUGUGUAGGAUAGGUGGGAGGCUUUGAAGUGUGGACGCCAGUCUGCAUGGAGCCGGCCUUGAAAUACCACCCUUUAAUGUUUGAUGUUCUAACGUUGGCCCCUGAUCGGGGUUGCGGACAGUGUCUGGUGGGUAGUUUGACUGGGGCGGUCUCCUCCUAAAGAGUAACGGAGGAGCACGAAGGUUGGCUAAUCCUGGUCGGACAUCAGGAGGUUAGUGCAAUGGCAUAAGCCAGCUUGACUGCGAGCGUGACGGCGCGAGCAGGUGCGAAAGCAGGUCAUAGUGAUCCGGUGGUUCUGAAUGGAAGGGCCAUCGCUCAACGGAUAAAAGGUACUCCGGGGAUAACAGGCUGAUACCGCCCAAGAGUUCAUAUCGACGGCGGUGUUUGGCACCUCGAUGUCGGCUCAUCACAUCCUGGGGCUGAAGUAGGUCCCAAGGGUAUGGCUGUUCGCCAUUUAAAGUGGUACGCGAGCUGGGUUUAGAACGUCGUGAGACAGUUCGGUCCCUAUCUGCCGUGGGCGCUGGAGAACUGAGGGGGGCUGCUCCUAGUACGAGAGGACCGGAGUGGACGCAUCACUGGUGUUCGGGUUGUCAUGCCAAUGGCACUGCCCGGUAGCUAAAUGCGGAAGAGAUAAGUGCUGAAAGCAUCUAAGCACGAAACUUGCCCCGAGAUGAGUUCUCCCUGAGACUUUAAGUCUCCUGAAGGAACGUUGAAGACGACGACGUUGAUAGGCCGGGUGUGUAAGCGCAGCGAUGCGUUGAGCUAACCGGUACUAAUGAACCGUGAGGCUUAACCUUACAACGCCGAAG